rnacentral:lncRNA from 1 species
GAGUGGGUUCACUCAGCACGAGAAUGUGAGUGACAGAAGAGGCCACCUCCAGCCACUGGCGAGCAGCUGAAACUCUAGCACUCAGCCCUUUGGGUUAGACCUAUGCGCUACACUGCUCUGCCCUUCUCUACCUCAGGUGCCAGCCACAGCAUCCUUUUGUCUGGUUGCCAGGCCAUGAUUCUGCCAAACUGCACCUGUGGGCCCACUGUCCUGGUACAUGCAAUGCAUGUGGAUUCUUUCUCUCACAUUAUAUAAUGUGGUACUACAUGGCUAUUGGGCCUCAAAACACCAGGUGGCGAACACUUGGAGAAUUCAAGAUGCUGUUACCAUGGGGACAAGAUGCUGAUCCUUCUCGAUGCAAUCAACACACUUCCUCUUUCAGAAAAACUAUUUCCACUGGAAAAUAAAUGAGCUUAAAAAUUUAAGUUUUUAGUUUUCAAAGAAUGACUAUUUUCUUAAAGCUCUGUAUUUAAUCAGGACAGCAGAGAUGAGCAAGCAAAGGAGAAAUAUUUAGGAAGGCCUUGUUUUCAAAGACUACCUUCUGACUCUUGCUUUCUUCACUGGCUAGUACAAGGUGAAGGAACAAAUUUCAGAUAUCUCAGGCUGCAUCUCUCAAGUAUUUGUCCUAUGUGAUAGAUUACUAAAGGGCCACGAAUCAUUUCUCUUCCUUUUUCUAUAUCCGUUUGCACUUGACUUUGCAGCUCUGGCCAUCAAAAGUGGAAAUCUCUUUCCUCACUCCUUGAACAUGGGCUGACAUUGGGCCUUGUCUGGCCAAUAGAA